rnacentral:rRNA from 1 species
GAUGAACGCUGGUGGCGUGCCUAAUACAUGCAAGUCGAGCGAACGGACGAGAAGCUUGCUUCUCUGAUGUUAGCGGCGGACGGGUGAGUAACACGUGGAUAACCUACCUAUAAGACUGGGAUAACUUCGGGAAACCGGAGCUAAUACCGGAUAAUAUUUUGAACCGCAUGGUUCAAAAGUGAAAGACGGUCUUGCUGUCACUUAUAGAUGGAUCCGCGCUGCAUUAGCUAGUUGGUAAGGUAACGGCUUACCAAGGCAACGAUGCAUAGCCGACCUGAGAGGGUGAUCGGCCACACUGGAACUGAGACACGGUCCAGACUCCUGCGGGAGGCAGCAGUAGGGAAUCUUCCGCAAUGGGCGAAAGCCUGACGGAGCAACGCCGCGUGAGUGAUGAAGGUCUUCGGAUCGUAAAACUCUGUUAUUAGGGAAGAACAUAUGUGUAAGUAACUGUGCACAUCUUGACGGUACCUAAUCAGAAAGCCACGGCUAACUACGUG